UGCGUUCUUCGGCUGGUAAUUUUUGAUGUUCUUUUUUUUUUUGUGCACAGGUAAUUUGCAGCCAUUAAAAGACUAGCUAGUUGUCUAAACAAUAAGAAAUUGAAGAUAUUUGAAACGGAUCCUUUUGAUUAUGAAAGUAUUAUCAACACUUUGAAAGAUUGUUCUGCUUUGUUCUACACUUUCGAAACUCCUCAAGAACAACCCAUCUUUGAUGACAUGGAUUUGCUAGAAUCAUGGGAUGUUAUUGACGGGAGAUCACAGAUUGAACAAAAGAGGAUGUCUGUGAUACGCGAUGGUGAAUUGGUACAGGAGUUUAUGGAUGAAAUUGAGGUUAGAGCUGCUCAUAACGUAUUAGAAGCUUGUGCCCAGACAGAUACGAUGGAGAAGGU